rnacentral:rRNA from 1 species
UCAGGAUGAACGCUAGCUACAGGCUUAACACAUGCAAGUCGAGGGGCGAGCAUUGGGAUAGCUUGCUAUUCAGAUGGCGACCGGCGCACGGGUGAGUAACGCGUAUCCAAACCUUCCUGCCAGUAGGGAACAGCCCGGCGAAAGUCGGAUUAAUGCCCUAUGUUCUUCAAUGCGGACAUCUAAGUUGAAGGAAAGAUUCAUCGCUGGCAGAUGGGGAUGCGUCCGAUUAGCUUGCCGGCGGGUAACGGCCCACCGGGGCGACGAUCGGUAGGGGUUCUGAGAGGAAGGUCCCCCACACUGGUACUGAGACACGGACCAGACUCCUACGGGAGGCAGCAGUGAGGAAUAUUGGUCAAUGGGCGUAAGCCUGAACCAGCCAAGUAGCGUGCAGGAAUGACGGCCCUACGGGUUGUAAACUGCUUUUAUGCGGGGAUAAAGUGCGGCACGUGUGCCGCUUUGCAGGUACCGCAUGAAUAAGGACCGGCUAAUUCCGUGCCAGCAGCAGC